rnacentral:rRNA from 1 species
UACGUAGGAUGCAAGCGUUGUCCGGAUUUAUUGGGCGUAAAGAGCGCGUAGGUGGUGUGUUAAGUUAGGCGUGAAAUUUCCCGGCUUAACUGGGAAGGGUCGUCUAAAACUGGCACGCUUGAGGGCAGCAGGGGAAAGUGGAAUUCCGGGUGUAGUGGUGAAAUGCGUAGAUAUCCGGAGGAACACCAGUAGCGAAGGCGGCUUUCUGGGCUGCUCCUGACGCUGAGGCGCGAAGGCUAGGGUAGCGAACGGG